GGUGUAGCUCAUUGGUAGAGCACUUGCUUAGCAUGUGCAAGGCCCUGGGUUCAAUUUCCAGCACC
rnacentral:tRNA from 1 species